rnacentral:rRNA from 1 species
UUGGUGCCUUCGGGAACUCUGAGACAGGUGCUGCAUGGCUGUCGUCAGCUCGUGUUGUGAAAUGUUGGGUUAAGUCCCGCAACGAGCGCAACCCUUAUCCUUGUUUGCCAGCACGUAAUGGUGGGAACUCCAGGGAGACUGCCGGUGAUAAACCGGAGGAAGGUGGGGACGACGUCAAGUCAUCAUGGCCCUUACGAGUAGGGCUACACACGUGCUACAAUGGCGCAUACAGAGGGCAGCCAACCAGCGAUGGUGAGCGAAUCCCAAAAAGUGCGUCGUAGUCCGGAUUGGAGUCUGCAACUCGACUCCAUGAAGUCGGAAUCGCUAGUAAUCGUGAAUCAGAAUGUCACGGUGAAUACGUUCCCGGGCCUUGUACACACCGCCCGUCACACCAUGGGAGUGGGCUGCAAAAGAAGUGGGUAGUUUAACCUUUCGAGGAGGACGCUCACCACUUUGUGGUUCAUGACUGGGGUGAAGUCGUAACAAGGUAGCCCUAGGGGAACCUGGGGCUGGAUCACCUCCUUAUACGAUGAU